rnacentral:rRNA from 1 species
CCUACGGGUGACAGCAGUGGGGAAUAUUGCACAAUGGGGGAAACCCUGAUGCAGCGACGCCGCGUGAGUGAAGAAGGAAUUCGUUAUGUAAAGCUCUAUCAGCAGGGAAGAAAAUGACGGUACCUGAGUAAGAAGCCCCGGCUAACUACGUGCGAGCAGCCGCGGGAAUACGUAGGGGGCAAGCGUUAUCCGGAGUUACUGGGUGGAAAGGGAGCGGAGCCGGCAGUGCAAGUCUGGAGUGAAAGGCGGGGGCUCAACCCCCGGACUGCUCGGGAAACUGUACGGCUGGAGUGCAGGAGAGGUAAGUGGACUUCCUAGUGUAGCGGUGCAAUGCGUAGAUAUUAGGAGGAACACCAGUGGCGAAGGCGGCUUACUGGACUGUAACUGCCGUUGCGGCUCGAACGCGUGGGGAGCAAACCGGAUUAGAUACCCUAGUAGUC